CUGCAAAUGCAUUAAACAACUUAACUACUAAAAUACAAUGAAUUAACAAGAACAAGCAAUAUUUGAACAACCGUAGCAAAAAAAUAUUUUCAUUGAUUAACCUAAUAUAACCUAUUACCAUUAGCCAUCUAUAAAAACAUUUAACAGACUUGGUCAAUCUUACUAGUUUAAACUUCAUAUUGAUCGGAAGUGUGAGUAUUAGGUGUUUUUGGCCUUGAUACAAAAGAUCAUAAAAACAUAUAUCUAUAAUAUCAUAUGUUUUGAAAAUAUCCUAAUGCUGCCAAAUAUAUAUCACUGGCUAAAUAAGAG
rnacentral:misc_RNA from 1 species